rnacentral:rRNA from 1 species
UAAGGAAUAUUGGUCAAUGGACGCAAGUCUGAACCAGCCAUGCCGCGUGAAGGAUGAAGGUCCUCUGGAUUGUAAACUUCUUUUAUCUGGGACGAAAACGGGAUUUUUAUCUCAAUUGACGGUACCAGAGGAAUAAGCACCGGCUAACUCCGUGCCAGCAGCCGCGGUAAUACGGAGGGUGCGAGCGUUAUCCGGAUUUACUGGGUUUAAAGGGUGCGUAGGUGGGCUUAUAAGUCAGUGGUGAAAUCUCCGAGCUUAACUUGGAAACUGCCGUUGAUACUAUAGGUCUUGAAUUAUCUGGAGGUAAGCGGAAUAUGUCAUGUAUCGGUGAAAUGCUUAGAUAUGACAUAGAACACCAAUUGCGAAGGCAGCUUACUACAUAUAAAUUGACGCUGAGGCACGAAAGCGUGGGGAUCAAACA